CGAGCCCUCUUCUCUCUUUCUUCCUCUCCUUCUUCCCUUUCCCGUAUACUUCUAUUCCUCUCUUCUCUAUGAUCACACUCACACCCAGCUGCACUCCCUGCUCGAGGAAGACACAAUCACCAUCUAAACCUCGUCCCUUUCCUCUUCCUCUUGCCUCUGCGCAACUCAGCGAAACCAAGAAAAUAACCUCCGGCGAGUCCGACGGCUUUCGAGGCCAUUACCGGCCAAACCACGGCGAGUUGGCCGGCGUGAAAGUUUCUGGCGACCUCCGAGGCUUUCGAGGAAAUUUCCGGCCAAACCACGGCGUGUUAGAUGUCGUGUGAGGGGCAAUUAUUGUGACGUUUCCGUCUUUGCUAGUGGCGCAGCUUUUGACGGCGAAGUACUGACUUAGAAUCAAGGCACCUAAUCCCGGCGUGAAGACACUUCCACAGUAGCAUCUUCGGAUCCUCUCGAUGUAGGACCCACUUCCUUAUUCAUCCAAUUUUAUCUUAAUUAUUUUUAGUGAUUAGAUUUAGUUGUAUGUUCUGAGAACGUUCCUGAAAUUAUUAAUUCUUCGUAUUUUUAAAUUUCUAACCCUUAUUUAUUUCUUAUUCUUAGCUUUUGUAUCAAUUAAUGGCUUCCGUCACCCUUGGGUGUCAGCCAGCAAGUGUCUAUCAUGGUAUUCAGGGAAUAUC